rnacentral:misc_RNA from 1 species
AUAAAACAUGAACACUCAAGUCAUGAUAAAGUGAUUGUUCAUUUGGCUAGUAAGUUGGAUUCUAUCCGUGUACCAAGUGCACGUGCAAUGAUUAUUUGGAUGUUGGGCGAGUAUAACUCCAUGGGACAUAUAAUUCCAAAGGUGUUACCCACAGUUCUCAAGUAUCUUGCCUGGACUUUUUCUUCUGAAGCACUUGAAACGAAGCUCCAGAUUCUUAAUGCGUUGGUCAAGGUCUUAUUACAUGCAGAAGGGGAAGCACUAUCAACCUUCAAGACACUCUUGAACUAUGUACUUGAACUAGCUAAAUGUGACUCGAACUAUGAUAUCCGUGACCGUGGACGUCUUCUACAGAAACUCUUAUCUCACUACAAAGGCACUCAUGAGUUGGAAGAAUCAACUCCUGACAGCACAUUGCCUGUACUUGUAGGACAUUUAUUUGGGAGAGAAACAAAACCCGUUCCUUCAGAACCAUUAGCUUAUCGGUUUUAUCUUCCUGGAUCUCUUUCACAGAUGGUUCUUCAUGCUGCUCCAGGAUAUGAACCUCUCCCACAGCCAUUAAGUUUGAUCUGCAAUGAUACUACUCACGAAUCCAAUAUGGUAAUAGGUAUGAAACAACCAAGGAAUAGAGCCACCCAAAGUGAAUCAUAUGAAACUGAUGAUGCUAACUCGGUAUCUGGAUCACUAAAUGAAGAAAGCACAUCUGGUUACAAUUCUCAAGAUUCUAAAACUGGUUCAAGUGGAACUCACGGUAGCCACAGGAGUGGGUCUGUGAGUGAUGAUGAUGAGCAUGCUGGUCCACUGAUUCAUCUUUCUGACAAUGGCAAUGCUCAUGGGAAUCAGUUGGGACCAAGGUUUUAUCAAAAUUUUGACUCCAAUGAUCUUGGGGAAUUAAUGUCGAUAAAAUCUCUUGAAUCCUGGUUGGAUGACAAUCCUGGUUCUACCCACAAUCCGGUAGAAUUAAAUAAUGUCUGUCAAUCAUUGGCCAGAAUUUCAAUUGGAGAUAUUAGUAGCAGAGUGAAACCUAAGUCCUACACUUUGUUAGAUCCUGCAAAUGGAAAUGGCUUGAGUGUGGAAUACAUAUUUUCAUCAGAGAUGUCAAGCAUAUCUCCUCUGCUUGUUUGUAUUCAGGUCACAUUUACCAACAAUUCAGUGGAAGCUAUGUCAAAUUUACAGUUGAUCGAAGAGGUUUCUAGCAUGAGGGUAGAAUCUUCAGAUCAAGUGCUGACAUCAGAUGAGAGUUCCAAGAUGUCUGUUAAUGAUGUGCCGACUCUAGUUCCAAU